CUGGCAAGAGACAGAGCAGCUGGAGUGGUGUGGAACGCACUGGGAGCUGAGACGAAGAGCACCUGAUCCUUCUUCCACAGCGACAGCAUCCAACAACAUGUGGAUAAAGACAGAGCUGACCUUUCCUGGGGACAUCUUGUGGUCUCCAGGCUGACUUGCACUGGCCUCCUCUUGAAUUCUUGAUGAUGUUGCCUGGCUGAGCUGCAGCAGGAACAACCCAGAAGUUUUCAAAGAAUAAGCCUAUCCUUUUGGAUGUGAGAAGGAAUAACAUACCACCUACAAAUCUUUACCUCUCAUAUAAUUCCUGGAUUACAACAUCACUCUUCCACUACCAAUAUGUCGAAGAUAUCAAAAUCUGCCCUUACAAUGGAAAAUCCACUACUUCAAAGAAAAAAGAAGCCAAGUUACAUCUUGCUAAACUCCAGCAAGAAACAUAAUAUUAUCCCAAAGGGACUCAUCAUCUG